rnacentral:siRNA from 1 species
CAUGUAUAUGGGUGAUACUCAUA